CGUUGAGUGAUCUAGUUGAAGAUUGGACGCAAAGUGGUGAGGUGCUGGUUCAUCCAUCGAAUCCAUCGGAUUCAUUGUCUCCAGUGGUCAAAGCACAAUUACUUUGCAAAGUUUACAAAAGAAUUUUUCUGCAAUUCUUUUCCACGUUUUUCCUGAUCGAUCGACGCGAAAAUUCGACGUUAAUACAAUAAUUAUUAUCUUGGUGUCAGAGUGUACUUUCCGCGAACGCUGAAAAAUGCCCCAACCAGCACACGAGACAAAGAACAUCUUAACCACCUACUUCAUCCUGAUUCUUCUGCUGAUUUGUCUCUGGUUAUUGUAUUCGGGAUUGUUUUAACCUUCGAAUACAUUCCCCGUCAUGGAGUGAAGAAGAACGAAGGGAACGCGUUCUUCGACGACCAGAUAUUCCCAGGAUUAAGCAAGAUACAGCAUUUUUACACUUUCAUCUAAAAAAAGAAUCAAAAUGAACGAAACAAGUAACGAUUUUCAUACAUUUUCAUCGUUUCUCCGUACCAUCUCAAGAUUAUGAUCAUCGCUGGACAAGAAUGUAGUUUUAUUUUUAAUAAAAAUAGAGAAGAAAAAUA